UACGUAUGGGGCAAGCGUUAUCCGGAUUUACUGGGUGUAAAGGGAGCGUAGGCGGCAGGGCAAGCCUGAUGUGAAAGCCCGGGGCUCAACCCCGGGACUGCUCUGGAAACUGCGGGGCUGGAGUGCAGGAGGGGUAAGCGGAAUUCCUAGUGUAGCGGUGAAAUGCGUAGAUAUUAGGAGGAACACCGGUGGCGAAGGCGGCCUGCUGGACAGAAACUGACGUUGAGGCUCGAAAGCGUGGGGAGCAAACAGG
rnacentral:rRNA from 1 species